rnacentral:rRNA from 1 species
UCGAGGAUCUUCGGCAAUGGGCGCAAGCCUGACCGAGCGACGCCGCGUGUGCGAUGAAGGCCUUCGGGUUGUAAAGCACUGUCGAGGGGGAGGAAAGCGCAAGCUUGACCUAUCCCUGGAGGAAGCACGGGCUAAGUUCGUGCCAGCAGCCGCGGUAAGACGAACCGUGCGAACGUUGUUCGGAAUCACUGGGCUUAAAGGGCGCGUAGGCGGGCCACCAAGUCCGGGGUGAAAGCCCCCAGCUUAACUGGGGAAGUGCCUUGGAUACUGGUGGCCUGGAGGGAGGUAGGGGCAGUUGGAACUUCCGGUGGAGCGGUGAAAUGCGUUGAUAUCGGAAGGAACGCCGGUGGCGAAAGCGAACUGCUGGACCUUUUCUGACGCUGAGGCGCGAAAGCCAGGGGAGCAAACGGG